rnacentral:rRNA from 1 species
GAUGAACGCUGGCGGCGUGCUUAACACAUGCAAGUCGAACGGUGAAGGCGGAGCUUGCUCUGCUGGAUCAGUGGCGAACGGGUGAGUAACACGUGAGCAAUCUGCCCCUGACUCUGGGAUAAGCGCUGGAAACGGCGUCUAAUACUGGAUACGAGCUGCUGAGGCAUCUUCAGCAGCUGGAAAGAACUUCGGUCAGGGAUGAGCUCGCGGCCUAUCAGCUUGUUGGUGAAGUAACGGCUCACCAAGGCGUCGACGGAUAGCCGGCCUGAGAGGGUGAACGGCCACACUGGGACUGAGAGACGGCCCAGACUCCUACGGGAGGCAGCAGUGGGGAAUAUUGCACAAUGGGCGAAAGCCUGAUGCAGCAACGCCGCGUGCGGGAAGACGGCCUUCGGGUUGUAAACCUCUUUUAGCAGGGAAGAAGAGAAAGUGACGGUACCUGAAGAAAAAGCGCCGGCUAACUACGUG